GCAGCUGCAGUGUUCCAGUUUCGUCGAAUUACUUUGGAGAUCCAUGCACAGGGGUCACAAAAAGCCUUGCGGUGGAAGCUGCAUGUUCAUGACAUGUCUGAUAAAUAUUGGUUCGUAGGAAGCAAAAUCAGUUUGGAGAAGGUUUCCAAGGUGAAACCUUCUCUGUGUAGGCAAGCAGGCAAAAGGAAUAAAUGUUCCCAUGCUGGUCAAAAGGAAUAAAUAUUCCCAAAUUUGCUACAUCCAAGCUAUUAGAUAGUACACUUAGAAAGGGCUGUCCUUGUUAAGAUGGCAAAUUCAUCCAUCAUGGCAAAGAAGGUGAUCCUUUUGUAAUCCUUGUUAAAAAUAGACUUUGUAUUUCAAUCAAGUUUAAUUACAAAUCUUCACCAGAAAAAAGUUUUAACUACACUUCAGUAACUGGGCAGUUUUGUCAUACCAGAAGACAAAAGUACGCACCUGGAAUCCUGAAGACCAAGUAAUUAUUAGAGUCUGCAGGUAGUUAAUUUUGUGCUGCAGAAAAGAAAAUGGAGGGGAUUAACAGACCUCAAUAACAUAUACCUUACUAAAACUCCUAGGUUCCCAUGAUGUUUGUGGCAUAAUGGUCCAGCUCGCCGUACUUUGCUUCAGCCUCUUAAAAGUGGCUUACCUCUAGCACAGAUCUCACAAUCGUUUGGAAUGGAAAGACUUUCACAGAUUGAUGAAGCACAUGUAUCAGGGCAUGCAACAUGAUGAUCAUCCAUUUCCAUUAUGCUGCAAAACUCAAUGGAAAGACU
rnacentral:lncRNA from 1 species